GAUGAACGCUGGCGGCGUGCCUAAUACAUGCAAGUCGAGCGAACAGACGAGGAGCUUGCUCCUCUGACGUUAGCGGCGGACGGGUGAGUAACACGUGGAUAACCUACCUAUAAGACUGGGAUAACUUCGGGAAACCGGAGCUAAUACCGGAUAAUAUAUUGAACCGCAUGGUUCAAUAGUGAAAGACGGUUUUGCUGUCACUUAUAGAUGGAUCCGCGCGGCAUUAGCUAGUUGGUAAGGUAACGGCUUACCAAGGCGACGAUGCGUAGCCGACCUGAGAGGGUGAUAGGCCACACUGGAGCUGAGACGCGGUCCAGACGCCUACGGGAGGCAGCAGUAGGGAAUCUUCCGCAAUAGGCGAAAGCCUGACGGAGCAACGCCGCGUGAGUGAUGAAGAUCUUCGGAUCGUAAAACUCUGUUAUUAGGGAAGAACAAAUGUGUAAGUAACUAUGCACGUCUUGACGGUACCUAAUCAGAAAGCCACGGCUAACUACGUG
rnacentral:rRNA from 1 species